GACGAACGCUGGCGGCGUGCCUAACACAUGCAAGUCGAACGGGAUCCAUGGAGUGCUUGCACUCCGGAAGAUCUAGUGGCGAACGGGUGAGUAACACGUGAGAAACCUGCCCCAGACUCUGGGAUAACCUCGGGAAACCGAAGCUAAUACCGGAUAUUCUCCUUUGGUCGCAUGGCCAGUUGAGGAAAGUUUUUCGGUCUGGGAGGGUCUCGCGGCCUAUCAGCUAGUUGGUGGGGUAACGGCCCACCAAGGCUACGACGGGUAGCCGGCCUGAGAGGGCGAACGGCCACACUGGAACUGAGAUACGGUCCAGACUCCUACGGGAGGCAGCAGUGGGGAAUAUUGGGCAAUGGGGGAAACCCUGACCCAGCGACGCCGCGUGGGUGAAGAAAUCCUUCGGGAUGUAAAGCCCUGUUGUAUGGGAAGAGCGGAAGACGGUACCAUACGAGGAAGCCCGGCAAACUACGUG
rnacentral:rRNA from 1 species